UUCCUGAGGCCUUCCCAGCCAUGCAGCACUCUGUAGGCUAACCCAAGAAGAAUAAAGCAUCGGCUUCCCUGACAUGCUGCUCCCCCCAAAACAGAGUGCCAAUAUGAUUCCAAGGUUCUUAGCACACUGUAUAUUACCUCACUCCUCCUACAGCUGGAGCCUCUUUGUACCUGGUCCUAUUUUCCUCCUUCUCCAGAGACAACUGUGCUCAUGAUUUUGUGGUCUGGAACUGAACUUGCAAUUUCUCCAAGAUAUGUCGGUAUCUCUCUCCAUGCUGUGCUGCGUGGGCUUUGGGAGCGGUGAUGUGGACCAUUUGAAAUUGUCCUUGCUACCUCUUUAAUGCAUAUUUUUAUAUUUCUAUGCUCCACCCAAGUGCUGUAGUCUCUCAACUGCCUUCUUUUUGUUCUUCAGCUUUUAUGAAGCUAUUUUCAAGUGUGAGUAGUUGUCCAAAUUCAUGUUUCUUGAGGGAACAAGUGACUUGUUUGUAAGUUGACUUGUAUAUCUUUUUAUAGCUGAGAUUUUAUCCUGUGAUCUUACUAACUCAGGAAUUUUUUGGAGAUUCUUUGCAGUUUUCUAAGUAGAAUAACCAUAUUAUAUUUAUUAUUAUUUUCCUUCUUACUUUGGUUUUAAUUUGCUCUUUUUUUACAUGUUUUCUGAGUUAGAAACUUAGGUUAUUGAUUUGAUACCCUUAUUCCUUUAUAACAUAUGCAUUUGAUUGUGUAAGUUUUUCUCUAAGCACUGCUUUAGUGCAUCCCACAAAUUUUGAUCUGUUGUAUAUUUUUUAUUUACUUUAAUAUAUCUUCU
rnacentral:lncRNA from 1 species